GGGGAAUUUGAGUUGCAACUCCCAAACCAUCGCGAACCCUACCUUCAACCGUUGCUUCGGCGGGCGGGCGCCCCGUGCGCCCCCCCGGCCCCCCUCGCUGGGGGCGCCCGCCGGAGGUGCCCAACUCUUGUUGAUCAUAUGGCCUCUCUGAGUCUUCUGUACUGAAUAAGUCAAAACUUUCAACAACGGAUCUCUUGGUUCUGGCAUCGAUGAAGAACGCAGCGAAAUGCGAUAAGUAAUGUGAAUUGCAGAAUUCAGUGAAUCAUCGAAUCUUUGAACGCACAUUGCGCCCGCCAGUAUUCUGGCGGGCAUGCCUGUUCGAGCGUCAUUUCAACCAUCAAGCCCCCGGGCCUGUGUUGGGGAACUUAUUCUGCACACAGGACUCAAAAAGGCCUGAUGAUCUCCCUGACUUGGGCAUCUUCCGGAGCAUCACCCCCGGCGAGGGAGGGUCUGGGGGGGGCAGAAAAACCCCCCCCCCCCUCUUCAAGGAAA
rnacentral:rRNA from 1 species